rnacentral:lncRNA from 1 species
UGAUAUUUAUUGAAUAAAUACACACAGCACAUAUUUUAUGGCAGAGGACUUUCACAUUUUUCUCCACGAAAGAAUUUCAUUAUUUUAAUACAGUUUAAUAUCUUAGGUGAAUAAAUAUUUUUAAAAGCUUAAGACAGGGUUUUGUAAUUAUGCAUAGCCACCUGUUCUGAGUCAUAUAUUUAGUUGGGAAUGCUAAGCCUACAGAUUUACAGUUUUUCCAUUUGGACUCUGAAUUCUGGCCUGAAUCUGUCACAUAAUUUCUAAGGAGUUUUAUACACAGAACAGCCUGAACGACAGUCCAAACCACCAAGAACAGUCAUCGGUCCUGAUGGAGGCUAACGUCUCCGAGUCAGACUGGCUGUUCGCUGCUAUUUAUGUCAGAGCACGCCCAGUGGCGGAAUCAAGAUGAUGGGGCUGUGGAAGCGAAGGGGAUAGACGUACUCUGACUCCCCCCUGCAAUGCAGCAUUAUCCGUGACUGAUGCUUUCUUGCAUCGUCGAGGAUAUUGCAGUUAGAUGUAGCCCCGUGGCAAAGAGACCAGAUAAAGAAUUAUUAGCAGGCAAAUGAGCAAGUACAACAGAGAUUGUUCCAAAAGUCUUUGGCCCUUUGUUUACACUUUGGGAAAAAGCUGGAGGAGCAGCAAUGAUGGAAGUCGGCCUCCCUGCUGUUCUCACGUGUUUCAUAGACUCAGAUCAUUGGAAGAUGUGUUCUUAAUAGUGAGCUCCACUCAAACCAGUGAUCGUAAGUGAAAGAAAAUGAAGACCACAUCCACCAUUCCCACUAGAGGUUUCUCAGACUUGAGGUGGUACUUAAGUCUCUCCAACAAAUAACAGAGAAAUUCAUUUUAACUAGCGGACCAGGUGCAAAUCAUAGAUCCUUGAAUUCUCAGUUCCAUUCAAUUUCAAUUUGUCAGUGCUACUUCCUUCUUCAUUAUAUUUCAUGGGAGAAAGCUGAGUGACAAGCAAUGAGAGAGCCAUUCUCCAAACAGAGGAGUUGAAACAAAGGAGUUAAUUGACC